rnacentral:pre_miRNA from 1 species
AUACUACUCCCUCCGUUCGGAAUUACUUGUCAUAAAAAUGGAUGUAUCUACAACUAAAAUAAUCUAGAUACAUUCAUUUCUUGGACGAGUAAUUCCGAACGGAGGGAGUACUUG